GUGCUCACUUCGGCAGCACAUAUACUAAAAUUCAAAUAAUACAGAGAAGAUUAGCAUGGCCCCUGUGCAAGGAUGACACGUAAAAAUUAAAAUAAAAUUAAUCAAUA
ensembl:snRNA U6 U6 spliceosomal RNA